rnacentral:rRNA from 1 species
GAUGAACGCUGGCGGCGUGCCUAAUACAUGCAAGUAGAACGCUGAAGCUUGGUGCUUGCACCGAGCGGAUGAGUUGCGAACGGGUGAGUAACGCGUAGGUAACCUGCCUCUUAGCGGGGGAUAACUAUUGGAAACGAUAGCUAAUACCGCAUAAAAGUCGAUAUCGCAUGAUAUUGAUUUGAAAGGUGCAAUUGCAUCACUAAGAGAUGGACCUGCGUUGUAUUAGCUAGUUGGUGAGGUAACGGCUCACCAAGGCGACGAUACAUAGCCGACCUGAGAGGGUGAUCGGCCACGCUGGGACUGAGACACGGCCCAGACUCCUACGGGAGGCAGCAGUAGGGAAUCUUCGGCAAUGGGGGCAACCCUGACCGAGCAACGCCGCGUGAGUGAAGAAGGUUUUCGGAUCGUAAAGCUCUGUUGUAAGAGAAGAACGAGUGUGAGAGUGGAAAGUUCACACUGUGACGGUAACUUACCAGAAAGGGACGGCUAACUACGUGCCAGCAGCCGCGGUAAUACGUAGGUCCCGAGCGUUAUCCGGAUUUAUUGGGCGUAAAGCGAGCGCAGGCGGUUAGAUAAGUCUGAAGUUAAAGGCUGUGGCUUAACCAUAGUACGCUUUGGAAACUGUUUAACUUGAGUGCAGAAGGGGAGAGUGGAAUUCCAUGUGUAGCGGUGAAAUGCGUAGAUAUAUGGAGGAACACUGGUGGCGAAAGCGGCUCUCUGGUCCGUAACUGACGCUGAGGCUCGAAAGCGUGGGGAGCAAACAGG